rnacentral:lncRNA from 1 species
CAUCAACAACACACUAGGAAUCUUAGGGAAGAUGAUUUCAAAGGCCUUCCUGAAGUCCUGGUAGGCAAUGUCCACUGCUCUCUCCUUGUUUACCAUGCCACUUCACCAUACAAGUCAAUUAAGUUGGUCAAGCAUACUUUCCCUUGGCGGCAUCAUGCUGAAUGCUGCUGAUGAUUUUCUUGUUGCUCAUAUGCCUGCAGCUCUUUUUCUAGAAUUUGCUGCUCCAGAAUCUUAGAUAUAAAUGAAAAUUCUCUAAAGAAUUUUGGAAAAGAAUAAGAGCAUCCAUACAGCUGAGGGCUGCUUACAGAUCUAUCUGGUGUUGAUAACAUUGUCCUGACUGUAAUCUUCCUCCUUUCUGUAAUAAAUCAGGAGAUGCUUACGAUUGCAGAGAACCAAUCAUGUUGAUUACAAGCACCCUCUGUUCCAAUAACUGCAGUAUUGUGUGAUAAUGAUUGGACUCUGGGAGAAUUCAUACCUUUAAGUGAUGAGACACUUGUCCUUAGAAGAGGAAUAGCGAUUUGAUUGCAUUAGCACUGCACUCAGUUUGUUAAUUUCCUGCCAGCAGAGAAAUGAGAAUAUACAGUCUCUUAGGAACUGCUACUUUGAAAACUCUCCUGUUUCUUCAGGUUCUGUUUGGCUGUCUACGUUUUUUCAUCUGUAUUUGCAUGUAGGAGGAGACCCUUCAGGAGUCACAGGCACCACGAUGACUUGUUGUACCACUGCUUCUACUUCCACCCACUGGCCAACCUCCAGCUCCUGUUUGGUGUCAGUCAGUGUCUGAGCUGGGGCUUUUCCCCUGUGCUAGAGGAAAGAAUUGAGCUUUUGUGAAAUGUUGGCUCUGUCAUCCAGGAGAUUUGGCUUUCUGCUGCGCUGAGCUGUGGAAGAGAGGGUUUUUCAGAGAUGACUUUGAGAAUAACGCUGAGCUUCAGAAUUUUGUGUGUCCUACAGGCAAGACUUCCAUUAAAUGACUUCUCUCUUGCCCUCUGAUGUUUUUCACUCAGAGGGUGGUGACACACUGGAACAAGUUGCCCAAGGAUGUUGUGCAUGCUCUAACCCUGGAGGCAUUCAAGGCCAGGCUGGAUGUGGCUCUGGGCAGCCUGGUCUGGUGGUUGGUGACCCUGCACAUAGUAGGGGAGUUGAAACCAGAUGAUCAUUGUGGUCCUUUUCAACCCAGGCUGUUCUGUGAUUCUAUCAAGACUUCAUUCUAGUUGCGUGGAAGUUAAAGAGCAAUCACAGAACCUUUCACAUCCAACCAGUUUGGGUUAUGUGCAUGGUCGUUAUUUUUCUCACUGCUUCAGGGCCUGCCCUCUGUGAUUCACAGGCUGCCCUCUCCUUGGAAAACUUCCAUGAACCUUCAGAAAUGGGAGGGCUUUGAGAUGAGUUACUGGGCUAAAACCAUCAAUAGGAAGGCACUGAUGAGCAGCAGGUACUGAGUGUUCAACCUCAUGCAUAAACUGGUCUUACUGCUUACUCCUAGGUGUAUUUCACCCAUUUUCUUACGUUGAAAAUAAUGUUUGCACUAUUCUGGUCACUUCAGCAGCCAGCUUUAUGUCACCAGCAUACUUCCCUAAAGACUGAGAUUUUGGUUCUAGCUCAACAUAUGGACCUCAGAACGAAGAGGUGACGUGAUUGAUCUCUCUCCCCCCACCUCACAGCAUGUUGCUGACUUCUGCACAGCCCAGCUGAAGAUGGGCAGGCAGCUCCUGGAAGGACACACGAUGCCCUUUCUUCUUCUGAAUGUUGGCUUGCUGUGGGGCUCUGGAGAAAUAACUGAGCUGAGGAGGGGGACAGCGCUGGUGCUUAGAUCUCUAAGGUGUGAUCUCCUGCCUCUAUCCGAGACAGCUCAGGAAUCCAUAUGGUCCUGCCAAGGCAAAGGUCUUCAGCUCCUCACAGAUCUCUCCUCCUCUUGCUGCGGGCAGAAAGCUGGGUAGUGUUUUUGGACUUUGCUGCUUCAAACUUGUAAAACUUGUAUAGCAACUGUGAACUAAAACUCAAAUGAUACUCUAGCAAAACAAGCCUAUGCUCCUCCAGCACCUGCUCGUCUUGCAAGGAUGGGAAGGGAAAAUGGAUGGGUUUUGAGUUGUUUGAGGCACUUCAGGAGAACGCUGGGGUUAUGCAAUUGUAGUGGUGCACUGUCCUCACUGGAAGAAGAUAUGAGUUGGAACACUUCCCAGUGACUCCUCUUCCCUCUUUGUGUAUCUGUGAGGCAUAUAAAGUCCUUGAUAGGGAAGUAACUUUAUGGAAAUGAACUGCACUCAAAGCAAGAUUUAGGUAUUUGCUUCAAACAUAAACAUAAAGAACAGCAUGCAGCCCAGCUCCCUACAGUGCACCAGUUAAAACUCUGCACGUUGUACCAUAUAGCACAGCACGGCUGGCUUUGCAAAUGAGGUCCCCAGAGCAUCACAUUCACCUGCAAAGGCUCAGCUCUUCAGAGGAAGUCAGGAACUAAGGAUUAAUAAGGAGGAAAAAAAAAAAAAAAGUCC